rnacentral:rRNA from 2 species
GCAGUCGAACGAACUCUGGUAUUGAUUGGUGCUUGCAUCAUGAUUUACAUUUGAGUGAGUGGCGAACUGGUGAGUAACACGUGGGAAACCUGCCCAGAAGCGGGGGAUAACACCUGGAAACAGAUGCUAAUACCGCAUAACAACUUGGACCGCAUGGUCCGAGUUUGAAAGAUGGCUUCGGCUAUCACUUUUGGAUGGUCCCGCGGCGUAUUAGCUAGAUGGUGGGGUAACGGCUCACCAUGGCAAUGAUACGUAGCCGACCUGAGAGGGUAAUCGGCCACAUUGGGACUGAGACACGGCCCAAACUCCUACGGGAGGCAGCAGUAGGGAAUCUUCCACAAUGGACGAAAGUCUGAUGGAGCAACGCCGCGUGAGUGAAGAAGGGUUUCGGCUCGUAAAACUCUGUUGUUAAAGAAGAACAUAUCUGAGAGUAACUGUUCAGGUAUUGACGGUAUUUAACCAGAAAGCCACGGCUAACUACGUGCCAGCAGCCGCGGUAAUACGUAGGUGGCAAGCGUUGUCCGGAUUUAUUGGGCGUAAAGCGAGCGCAGGCGGUUUUUUAAGUCUGAUGUGAAAGCCUUCGGCUCAACCGAAGAAGUGCAUCGGAAACUGGGAAACUUGAGUGCAGAAGAGGACAGUGGAACUCCAUGUGUAGCGGUGAAAUGCGUAGAUAUAUGGAAGAACACCAGUGGCGAAGGCGGCUGUCUGGUCUGUAACUGACGCUGAGGCUCGAAAGUAUGGGUAGCAAACAGGAUUAGAUACCCUGGUAGUCCAUACCGUAAACGAUGAAUGCUAAGUGUUGGAGGGUUUCCGCCCUUCAGUGCUGCAGCUAACGCAUUAAGCAUUCCGCCUGGGGAGUACGGCCGCAAGGCUGAAACUCAAAGGAAUUGACGGGGGCCCGCACAAGCGGUGGAGCAUGUGGUUUAAUUCGAAGCUACGCGAAGAACCUUACCAGGUCUUGACAUACUAUGCAAAUCUAAGAGAUUAGACGUUCCCUUCGGGGACAUGGAUACAGGUGGUGCAUGGUUGUCGUCAGCUCGUGUCGUGAGAUGUUGGGUUAAGUCCCGCAACGAGCGCAACCCUUAUUAUCAGUUGCCAGCAUUAAGUUGGGCACUCUGGUGAGACUGCCGGUGACAAACCGGAGGAAGGUGGGGAUGACGUCAAAUCAUCAUGCCCCUUAUGACCUGGGCUACACACGUGCUACAAUGGAUGGUACAACGAGUUGCGAACUCGCGAGAGUAAGCUAAUCUCUUAAAGCCAUUCUCAGUUCGGAUUGUAGGCUGCAACUCGCCUACAUGAAGUCGGAAUCGCUAGUAAUCGCGGAUCAGCAUGCCGCGGUGAAUACGUUCCCGGGCCUUGUACACACCGCCCGUCACACCAUGAGAGUUUGUAACACCCAAAGUCGGUGGGGUAACCUUUUAGA